UGAUAAGUCCGUAAACACUACAAACUCAUGCACGAUUGCCAAAAACAGACUUACCAGGUGGUUAAAAUUGCCCCACCGUGGGAGGUCGAUCUUUCUUUUUUUCUUUUUCCUCUUUUUUCGAUUAAUGCAGAAUAUAAAAACGACCAUUACUUGUAGCUUUUCUACAUGGAAAAUCCAAAUGGCGUCCCCUAAAGUCUGUUGAGAUGAGUUGAUGAUCUCAAGUCACAUGCAGAAAGCUCAAAACAUCAAUAACGUACAAGCUCUUAUAACGGCGAGACCCAAAAAUAAAGUUUUAACUUGGCAUAUCUUAGAUACAAAAAAUAAAGUUUAACAUAGCAUAUCUUAGAUACAAAUUAUCUUCUUCCAUUUCGAGAUCAAAUUUAUGAGACCAACUCAAAAAGAGUGUGUCCCAUCCCCUAUACAAUUCUGUAAAAAUCCCAAUGUUACACCACCAAACCCCCCAAAAUCUUCAAACCCCCAAAGACAUACCUAUCCUUAUACCAUUGUACACAUCAUAUUUGCAGAAUAAGUUAUCAAAUCCAUAUCCCCAAAAACAAAAAUGAAGAGAAUUCAUGCACAAACCCUUUACUGCACUUCACAGCAAGAGAUCUCACUUCUGCCCAUUGACCUCAAGUUAUUCUCCUCCAAUUACAGUAAACCACUAAUCAGCACAGAUACUAAAAUGCUCUUGCUGCCUCUUUAAAAGCAGUCACUAAAUAAUAUGAAAUCUGCAAAAGCAUUUUCUCCUAAUCCUCUCGUUCUAAAUUUGUACACUUGAAUAUAUACGCAGGGGUUAGCACCCACAGCCACCAUCAUUUUAGGCUGAGGGCCAUCUCCUACAGACACAAUGUUAACUUUUAUCUGACUUCUCACCGUAGCCAUCCAUUGUAGGGCUUCCUGGUGGAUCUCCAGAGUGUGAGCCAUCUGACUGAUGAAAGUGGAUGUUCAAACUGCUAGAGGGCAAAUGCUCGAAGACAAUCUGAUCACCUGCUUCCUGCCCCUCUGAGUGGAACAGAAUUGGGCGGCAGCGCUUAUCUUCAUUCAUUAAGCUUGAAUUCUGGAAGUGGUUCACAAGGGCUGCCUUUCCCUGGAUUCGAGCAUAUGCCAGAGAAGCAACUUUCUCACUGUUAAAUUUCUCCCACUUCUUACCAUUAAAUGCCUGCACAAAAUUAAAAACAUAAAUAGAUCCAUAAAAUAUAUAUUGUAAAUAAUUCCUCCUAAAUUUGAGGUAUAACAUGAAACAUCAUUUUUAUAACUGAAACUAAGACUUCCAAUGAAAAAUACUGGCUUGACUAGAUACUCCACUGCUUUGCAAGGCAGUGAAAUACAAACCCAGAGAAUAAACAAUUAAAUCCUGAAACAAGGAAAACAAAACCUCAUAAAAUGGAAUGAUGUGUGAAGGAGACAGCAUGUUGAUAAAUGCAUAACCCACAUUGCAUUUAUUCUUAAAAUCAAUUGGUAAAUAUAGAAAAUCAUAAGUGCCCUUGUGAUUUUCAUCAAUGGCAGCUAGCAACAUCUUUGAGGUGUAUCUAGGGGAUGAGAUCAGAACAGGGAGAAAAUAAGACUGAUCUUUUAACAUGAUAAUGACUGGAUAUUGACAAAUGGAAAUUAUAAAGAGAGUUAUUACUUGUUUGGGAUAUUUUUUAUCAUUAAGGUUGUCCGAGUGUCUUCCCCACUGAUAAUUUUAUCCAAGUCGAGCUGAAACUGUUUCUUGCUAUCUACUUGGUUACCAUUAUUCUCAACCCGUCGGCUCCGCCCGCGCUCAGUAAAACCUUCCAUUGUGGUAGCUGCCAAUCCAGGGUAUGGGCCAUUACCUAAAAAUACAUGAUUUAGCCUUGGCGAAGACAUCAUUCUGUAACUUGAAGAACCAUUUUCAGAAAUUUUUCUUGGAAUGGUAACACCAGCAUUCAUCGGAGUACGAUUGCCCAUAUUCAUAAUGAAAUUUCCAUCAUUGUGGCCUAAACCCAUGCCUCCAUAUGCAACACGACUCAUGUAUGAAGUUUCUGGUGACUCAGGGAAAAAUCCAAAGUGCCCCUCCAAAGGAACUCCAGAUGGAGCAGAACCAACAUGAUGAUGGUUCUGGGAUGAGCCAAGGAAAGAACCAUGCCGACCCAUGUAUGAAAAGCCAUGACCCUUCCCAUUGGAUGAAAAUGGAUGGCCCAAAGAUGUUGUCCAGGCAGAUGAAGUGGCAUGAUCUGGGUACAGAUUAGGACUUCCCCAAAGAAACUGUGGCCCUGAUAAUGUUUCCAUAACAGAUCCAUUAGAUGUUGAAGGGCCACCAAAAGGAGACAUACUUCCAGGGUAUUGAUUCAGCUUUGACUCAGGCAAUGAAUGUGAUUGUGGUAAUGUAGCUCCAUGGGCUGAAUUCAUGUUUGUAAAUGUAUGAUCCACAAGACUACCCCUUCCUUGGUCUUUGCCGAUAGGUGCAACUUUCACAGAGUUUGAUCCUUGAGAAUGAAGAAUUGAAGCCAGCCCAGGUAAAUGGUUGCCAGUUGUAGGGCUCAAAUUCCUGAAAACAGGGGAUUUGCUGAUACUUUGCAAUGGACUAUGACUAUGUUCAGUAGAAUUGUUGAACUGUGCCCAGCUACCUGGUGGAGAGUUGGUUACUGGUGAACCCACUGGAGGCCGGAAACUCCGGGAUUCAUCUUGUUCAAGCUCUUGAUUCAGUUGCAACAUCAAGUUUCGCCGCGCUCCACCGGGACGGCUAGGUUCAAGCUUUAUGCGCUUACCAGCUAUGUCACUUCUAUUUAAUGACUUAAGAGCUGCUUCAGCAGCUCUAACAUCAUAAAACUCAAUAAACUUAUGGUGCCUCUUGUGUGGUGUUUCCCUUAUCUGCUAUUGUACAAUAAAAUACCAAUUUGCACAAAUGUCAAACCAAUUAUUGCAGAAAGAAGCAUGGGUAAAAAAGUAAAGGAGCAAUCCAAGGAGAAACUUAUCACCUCUUUGACCUCACCAUAAGCCCCAAAUAUUUGCCGGAGGUCUUCAUUUGAGACUGAUGGAUCCAGAUUGAAAACAACUAGAGUUCCUUGAUUAAUAUCCUUGUCUGAUGGAUUGUCCUUUGGAAUUGAGUAGUGAAUAUCAAGUUUCCUCCGUCGUAGAGGUUUGUUUUGCAAUGCACGCAUAGCAGUUCGAGCCGCGCGGAUAUCAUAAUAAGAUAUCAUCACAAAACCCCUGUGUUUACAUGCAGUGUAGAGAGUUCUAAUGUUGCCAUAUUGCUACAAAACAAACAGUUAGCAAGAAUAAAACAACAUUAUUUGGAUGAAGCAAUGAAUACUAUUAAUAUCUUGAUUACAGUUUCAAGCAGGUUAAGAGAUCAACAACUUGUAAAUUCAAAAACUGAAUACCAAUUUCUAUAAAUUUUACACAGUACCAACUUAUAAAGCAAUUAUGACAACCACACUGUGCUAUUCUUACUUUCAGUUCUCAGUAGACAAUGUUUUACUUUGGAGAACUUGAGAAUUUUCUAAUGAGACAAGUCAUAGUCAUCUAAUUACAUGGUCCCAUUAGUUCCUGUGAUUCACUGCAUUUGCAUAAGUGACAAGUUUCAUAUAGGGUUUUUAUACAACUUUAAAUAAAUCAUUUUUUUGGACAUGCAGAUUAUAAUAAAGGUUAAAUACUCAAACUUGUGUCGAUGUCAAGUUAAUAACAUGAUGUAUCCUAACUCAUGUAGAGCCAAUUGUUUUGUUUUUUGAUUUUGUUCACAAGUUCUAUCCAAUUUUUGCAUACGCAUACCACAUUAAAUUUCAUUCAAACAAAUUUGAUGUCUGAAAUUUGCAAAAGAUUGCUUACUUCUGAUACAUGGAACUGACAUCAAGCUUUAUACCCAGCCAACUAAAACAAGGUGCAUAAACAAAUAUGGAUACCACAAAUUGAAUUACCUCAAAGAGAGUUCUUAGUUCUAUGUCUUCGACAUUACUAUUAAUAUUCCGAACAAAUAAUGUUCUUGAAGGAUGUUCACCAUAAGGAUGUUCUCCAGCAACUGUUCCCACACCAUUUGAAAGACCGUAAUGAGGCAUCCCAUUCCCAAUGAUGCCAUCAGAGAUAUUUACCUUUGAGAUGCCCAUGCUCAGGCUCUCUUGAGGAUCACUUUCAAGUUCCAUACCUCCUCCACUACCAAAAAGAUCAUAAUCUUCCAAGUCCUCCAGUGAACCAGGCAGUCUACUUAGGUCAAAAUCUUCCAUUAUGCCAGCUAAAAGCUCAUCCUCAUCAUCAGGAAGCAAACUUCCGAUUGCAUGAGUUUCAACAUCUUCAAGUAAAUCACCACCCUCCACAUCUGCAUCUUGAUGAAGUUUAUCCAAACCAGAUGAGGCAUCAUCAACAGAUUGACGGCUACAUUCCGUAUCAUUCAAAUUCAACUCUUCAUGUGUAAGAACUGGUAAUGAGCUAGAAAAAAGUGUAGUGUCACUUGGAGUAUGGUAUAUGUCAGAUCCAGAUAAAAUUUCCAAUGCACUGCUUCCCACUUCCUCAGGUAUAUUAACUGGAGGAUUCUUCGCAGGAGCCGGAGAAAAAAUAUUCGACGACUGCUUCAUUGCAUCAACUUCUACUGAAUGAGUUCAAGAAAAUCAAAGCAAAGAUUACGUGAACCACGACCAAUUGAGCUCUUCACGAUCACGCAUAGAGAGAGAAGAAGCAGACGCAGAAGCAGAAGAAGAAGGAAGAGACGUGAAGGGAGAGAAUUAGUAGUGUGCACUUCCUUAUUACUGCUCUGCCUACAAGCUUUCUCUCUCUGAUUGGAGAGAAGGUGAUGAUUGGACGAGAGAAGUAAAAAGAGCAGAGAAUGAUUGAGAGAGAAAUAGGGAGAGAGAUUAUAGUUGCGAAUGCGGGUUCCGAUUUAAC
rnacentral:misc_RNA from 1 species